rnacentral:rRNA from 1 species
GAGGAAUAUUGGUCAAUGGGUGCAAGCCUGAACCAGCCAUCCCGCGUGAAGGACGACUGCCCUAUGGGUUGUAAACUUCUUUUGUAUAGGGAUAAACCUACCCUCGUGAGGGUAGCUGAAGGUACUAUACGAAUAAGCACCGGCUAACUCCGUGCCAGCAGCCGCGGUAAUACGUAGGUGGCAAGCGUUGUCCGGAUUUACUGGGCGUAAAGGAUGCGUAGGCGGAUACUUAAGUCAGAUGUGAAAAUCCCGGGCUUAACUUGGGAACUGCAUUUGAAACUGGGUAUCUAGAGUGCGGGAGAGGAAAGUGGAAUUCCUAGUGUAGCGGUGAAAUGCGUAGAGAUUAGGAAGAACACCAGUGGCGAAGGCGACUUUCUGGACCGUAACUGACGCUGAGGCAUGAAAGCGUGGGGAGCAAACA